ACAGUCAUAUUACAUUGAAACACCGUUUUCCGUGCGAUCACUGAAGUUAAGCAACGUUAAGCCUGGUCAGUACGCAGAUGGACGACCGGUCGGGAAUACCAAGUGCC